rnacentral:lncRNA from 1 species
AUGUUAGACUUAUUAAGUAAAAAAAAGAUUGUUUUUUUUGUAUAUAUAGUAUUAUUACUAUACCAGAAACCAGUAAGUUCCUACAUGGAUACAUCAAUAUUAAACGAUGGGAUUUUAAAUAAUUUUAUAAAAAGUGAUAUAGAAUAUAUGGGUAAUCAUUUAUCAUUUAAUGACAAUAAUAGUUCUAACAAGAGAAAAAAAAGAACUGAUUCGAGUGAUAGUGAUUUAUUAUUAUUAAAUAUUUUAUCUGAGAUAAUACCAUCGAAUUUUUCUGUUUAUUCAGUUUCUUAUUAUGAUGGUAUUAUAGAUGUAAAUGAUAAUAUAAAUAAUGUUCCUAGUAUUGAUGAUAAUACUACUGUAUAUACUAUUAAUGCAAAUCCUUUUAUAGAUUUAACAAAUAUGUAUAACAGUGAAUUUAUAAAUACAGUUACUGAAUUUUUAAAUAAAAGUGAGCCAAUAAAAGGAUGUGAAGAAGAUAUCAAUACUUAUAAUUGUCAUGAAAAUGUAUUAUCAUGUAUUAGUUUAAAAAAAAAUUAUUUAUCAGAAAGUUGUAAAAAAAAACUAAACAAUUCUUUAUUAUAUUCAUGUAAUGAUGAUAUUUCGAGAUAUUGUGAUAGUAAUAAUACUAAAUUUUCAAAAAUAUAUAAAUGUUUAAAAAAAAAUUUUUACCAUAUAACUCAUGAUUGUUUAAAUAUUUUAAGUUACUAUGAAAAUGUUAUGCAAAAGUUACAUGAAGUUAAAAACAAACCAUAUAGUCUACAAAACCAUUUGUUUUUAGAAGAUUAUAAUGAUAAUAAUUAUUUAAAAACUGAAAAUGCUACUAUUACUACUACUACUACUACUACUGAUAAUAGUACUAACAAAAAUAAUAAUAAAAGUCAUAACUUAAAAGAUACAAAUAAACAGAAUAAUCAACAAACAAAUAAUAAUAAUAAUAAUAAUAAUAAUAAUGGUGUAAAUAAUACUAAACCAACAAUGGUUGAAAAUUUAAGAAAAGGAUAUGGUCAGUAUUUUUUACCAAAAACUACUCAAAAUUUCUUAUUUAAUUAUAAUUCACAAACAAAUUAUAAAUAUAGAUAUGUCAUAUCCUUUAUUAAAUAUUUUUUAAUUAUGCUUAUAUUAUAUAUUUUUGUAGUUUAUAUUAUAAAAUAUUAUGUUAAAGAUUCAUUAAGAUUAUUUGGUAACAAUACACAAGAGAAAUUAGCCCAGCUGUAA